CCCUGAAGUCCCCGGUCCGCCGGGAGUAACGGUCGCUCCGAAUUCCGAACCUUCGCCCUAGGGAAGAUGAGACGGUCGCCAGUUUCUCCGGCUCUUCGCCCUGGGCCUCGACAUUCCCUUACCUGACGUUACUCAUUUAUUAUUAUUGUUGUUACCAUUAUUAUUAUUUGAAAUCUCCUCUGCCCUAGAAUUGAGCUUCUUGAGAGUAAGAGCUCCGGUUCGUCGUCGUCACCCACCGCUUACCGCAGUGCCGAGGGUUCGCCAGGCGCUAGCAGUUUGCUGAAGAGAGUGGGUGUUUAUAGUGAAAAGAGAAGUGAGUUGGAAAUUAGAAAACCUGGCUUCGCGCGCCUCCCUCGCCAUCUGCCGCCUGGCGCGGCGCCUCUUGAGGUCUCCCCUACUAGGCCGAGGCUCUGCUCGCCGUUCUGGAAGGUGUUGAGAAGAGUGUAGCGAUAUAGUUCAACAUUUUCCUGAGCCACCACUUCCCUCUACUUAGGACCUGACUUGAUAUUUGAGAAAAGCUCAACUAUGGAAUGAAAAAGCAGGAAUGAAUGGCCUCCAAAUCUUUUUGUCAGUUGCUGCUACUCUUGAUUGAGGGAUACUAGCCUUUGCAUAGCUGUUGUGGAAAAGGAGAUGAACAGAAGAAACUCACCUUCCGGUGGCAGCUGCCACCAACACACAGAAGCACUCACUCAAGAUGGCUUAAAGGAGACAGUGACUCAAUGUACGACUAGAAAACUGAGCAAUUC